rnacentral:rRNA from 1 species
CUCUUUCACAGAUGAAACUGCGAAUGGCUCAUUAAAUCAUCUUGGUUCAUUGGAUGGUGCCGACGAGCUGUCCUACAAGGACAACUCUGGUAAUUCUAGAGCUAAUACAUGCAACACAAACCCCGACCCCCUUCGGGGGAUUCUCUGGGUGCUCUUAUUAGAUCAAGCCAGCCCGGGUCGCAAGACCCGUGCCACAUUGACUGACUGGAUAACACCUGGCAUAUCGCACGGCCUUCGCGCCGGCGAUAUUUCCUAUUAAUGUCUGACUUAUCAACUGUCGACGGAAGGUUAYAUGCCUCCCCUGGUAAUGACGGGUAACGGGGAAYCASGGUUUGAUUCCGGAGAGGGAGCCUGAGAAAUGGCUACCACAUCCAAGGAGGCAGCAGGCGCGCAACUUACCCAAUCCCGAAAGGGGGAGGUAGUGACAAAAAAUAACGAUGCGGGCGCCUAUUCGGUUGCCCGUAAUCGGAAUGAGUGAGACUCAAAUCCUUUAUACGAGGAUCUAUUGGAGGGCAAGUCUGGUGCCAGCAGCCGCGGUAAUUCCAGCUCCAAUGGCAUAUAUUAAAACUGCUGCGUUUAAAAUGCUCCUAGUUGGAUCUCUAAAAAACGAGGGACGGCUUUGAUGGCCUAUGCUGUCGUCACUGCCAAACCCCGGAAGCACGGCCCAAUGCACGGGUGCUCUUCACCGAGCUGCCUGUGCUGCGGGCCCCGGUUUACUGUGAGAAAAUUGGAGUGCUUCACGCAGGUGGGACUGCCUUGAACGAAUAAUGCAUGGAAUAAUGGAAAUGAACCUGGGUUCCGUUCUGUUGGUUUACGGAAAGAUACUAGGUGAUGAUUAAGAGGGACUGCCGGGGGCAUACGUAUUGCGGGGGGAGAGGUGAAAUUCAGUGAUCCUCGCAAGACGACCGAGAGCGAAGGCAUUUGCCAAGAAUGUCUUCAUUAAUCAAGAACGAUAGUCAGAGGAUCGAAGACGAUCAGAUACCGUCGUAGUUCUGACCUUAAAAUUUGCCGACUGGCAAUGCGCCAGGGUCUUUCAUAGACAAGGCACGCAGCACUCCCCCGAGAAAUCCAGAGUAUCUGGGUUACGGGGGUAGUAUGGUUGCAAAGCUGAAACUUAAAGGAAUUGACGGAAGGGCACCACCAGGAGUGGAGCCUGCGGCUUAAUUUGACUCAACACGGGAAAACUCACCCGGCCCGGGCACUGGUAGGAUUGACAGAUUGAAAGCUCUUUCUCGAUUCGGUGGAUGGUGGUGCAUGGCCGUUCUUAGUUGGUGGAGUGAUUUGUCUGGUUAAUUCCGAUAACGAACGAGACUCUAACCUGCUAAAUAGUUCGCUUGCCCGUCGGCGAACGCGGCGUUGCUCCGGAGCCUUUGGUAAAAGAGCGCGUCGAAUGAACUUCUUAGAGGAACAAGUGGCUUUCAGCCACGUGAGACUGAGCAAUAACAGGUCUGUGAUGCCCUUAGAUGCCCGGGGCCGCACGCGCGCUACAAUGAAGGAGGCAGCGAGUGUUGCUCCCCUGGUCCGCAAGGACUGGGCAACCCGCUGAACCUGCUUCGUAACAGGGACUGUGCAUUGCAAUUAUUGCGCACGAACGGGGAAUCCCUAGUAAGCGCGAGUCACUAGCUCGCAUUGACUACGUCCCUGCCCUUUGUACACACCGCCCGUCGCUACUACCGAUGGGACGUUUGAGUGAGAGACCCGGAUUGGCCCCAUGUUCAGGCUGGCAACAGCGGGGCAAGGUGUGCCGAGAAGGCUUUCAAACUCGAAUGUCUAGAGGAAGUAAAAGUCGUAACAA